rnacentral:rRNA from 1 species
GAUGAACGCUGGCGGCGUGCCUAAUACAUGCAAGUCGAGCGAACGGACUAGAAGCUUGCUUCUCUGAUGUUAGCGGCGGACGGGUGAGUAACACGUGGAUAACCUACCUAUAAGACUGGGAUAACUUCGGGAAACCGUAGCUAAUACCGGAUAAUAUUUUGAACCGCAUGGUUCAAAAGUGAAAGACGGUCUUGCUGUCACUUAUAGAUGGAUCCGCGCUGCAUUAGCUAGUUGGUAAGGUAACGGCUUACCAAGGCAACGAUGCAUAGCCGACCUGAGAGGGUGAUCGGCCACACUGGAACUGAGACACGGUCCAGACUCCUACGGGAGGCAGCAGUAGGGAAUCUUCCGCAAUGGGCGAAAGCCUGACGGAGCAACGCCGCGUGAGUGAUGAAGGUCUUCGGAUCGUAAAACUCUGUUAUUAGGGAAGAACAUAUGUGUAAGUAACUAUGCACGUCUUGACGGUACCUAAUCAGAAAGCCACGGCUAACUACGUG